AACGAACGCUGGCGGCAUGCCUAACACAUGCAAGUCGAACGAGACCUUCGGGUCUAGUGGCGCACGGGUGCGUAACGCGUGGGAACCUGCCCUUAGGUUCGGAAUAACUCCCCGAAAGGGGUGCUAAUACCGGAUAAUGUCUUCGGUCCAAAGAUUUAUCGCCUUUGGAUGGUCCCGCGUUGGAUUAGCUAGUUGGUAGGGUAAAAGCCUACCAAGGCGACGAUCCAUAAAUGGUCUGAGAGGAUGAUCAGCCACACUGGUACUGAGACACGGCCCAGACUCCUACGGGAGGCAGCAGUGGGGAAUAUUGGAAAAUCGGGGGAAGCCUGAUGCAGCAAUGACGCGUGAGUGAUGAAGGUCUUAGGGUUGUAAAGCUCUUUUACCCGGGAUGAUAAUGACAGUACCGGGAGAAUAAGCUCCGGCUAACUCCGUG
rnacentral:rRNA from 1 species